GAUGAACGCUGGCGGCGUGCUUAACACAUGCAAGUCGAACGGAAAGGCCCAAGCUUGCUUGGGUACUCGAGUGGCGAACGGGUGAGUAACACGUGGGUGAUCUGCCCUGCACUUCGGGAUAAGCCUGGGAAACUGGGUCUAAUACCGGAUAGGACGAUGGUUUGGAUGCCGUUGUGGAAAGUUUUUUCGGUGUGGGAUGAGCUCGCGGCCUAUCAGCUUGUUGGUGGGGUAAUGGCCUACCAAGGCGUCGACGGGUAGCCGGCCUGAGAGGGUGUACGGCCACAUUGGGACUGAGAUACGGCCCAGACUCCUACGGGAGGCAGCAGUGGGGAAUAUUACACAAUGGGCGCAAGCCUGAUGCAGCGACGCCGCGUGGGGGAUGACGGCCUUCGGGUUGUAAACUCCUUUCGCUAGGGACGAAGCGUUUUUGUGACGGUACCUGGAGAAGAAGCACCGGCUAACUACGUG
rnacentral:rRNA from 1 species